ACCUGGUAGUCAGGUCAUUUCAGCAGAGGAUUCAUACUGCGGCACAUAAGUUCUCCCUUUUCUUGCCACAUGUACUUUUUGUAUUGGCUUAUAGUGAGGGAGGACUGCGUUGGAGAAGGACUGUGUGAGGGGAAGGGUUGGGGCAGAGGCACGCUGAUGGAAGAGCUGGGGGAGAGGCACAGCAGAUGGAAGGGCUGGGGGAGGGAAAGGCUGUGUAAGAGGAUCAUUCAGGGGAAGGAAAGGCUUUGUGAGAGGAACACUGAGGAGAGGGAAAGGCUGUGUCAAAGGGAACGCUGAGGAGAGGGAAAGGCUGUGUGAAAGGGAACGCUAAAGAGAAGGCUCCUGAGAGAUAUACUGAGGGAAAUGCUGUGUGAGAUUAACGCUGAGGGGAGGGAAAGGCUGGGUGAGAGGAACGCUGAAGAGAAGGCUGGAUGAGCGAUACAGCAUGCUGAGAGAAAGGCUGUGUGGAGGGAACAGUGCAGGGGAAGGCUGAUUAAGGGGAACCCUGCAUGGAAAGGCUAUGUAUGGCCCAGACUGGCAAUCUGUGGAUUCUGGCAAAUGCCAGAGGGGCUGCUAUUAUUUAACCAAAGAAGCUUAUUAUGAUGAGUGAAAAUCUAUCUGAAUCACAAAGAACAAACGUGGGCAAGUUGAUCCAACAUGUUUUGGCAACGAGCCUGUACGAGACACACCAAGUGAACUUCACGAUCAAAGAACAGAGAAUCGCAUUGGGACAACUAUGUGCGAUUGCAUGGUCAUGAAAACAGAGGAGGAAUCUCAUUGUUGCAUGGAACUAUCAAAUAUGAACAAGAAAUACCUACAAGAUGGCUGCAUCUGCCAUAGCAAAAAAUUUACUGAAAAUGUAUACAAAAAAACUCCACUAUGAAUAUUUAAAGUUCUUUUGGAACAUGCAAUGCCCCACAGAAUUAGCAGCCAUAACAGGUAUUAUAGUAUAGCUGAACUGUUGAAGGUAAUUAAAUGAAGGUUAACUAUAGUUUGAAGAUAAUGGGAAUUCUGAAUUUCUGUGUUUUUUUGUCAAUAAAAACAUCUGUUCUAGGCAAAAGGGGUUACUGUUUUUUAUGCGCAGGGAAGGGUGCAAGUUUAUGUGCAAAUAAUGGCACAGUUAGCCAUGUUUUUUUCUACUUUGUCUCCAUCAAUGCUCAAAAUUGCUCCAAAAAAUAAAACGUACAGAAACCCUGUCUGCCUGUGUUCUGUAGCUCUAUAUAAUGUCAAAUGACAUUGUGUUUUGAUUUUACCCACUUAGGUGUGAUGACUAGCGCAGAACACAUAUAUUUUUUUCUUUCUUCCACAGAAAACUAAGACAAACCACAUAUCGGUCAUUCAUCACCUGGGUUUGUGGCUACUUAGGACACAACAAUAGGAAGCCUAUUCCAGCCUGUGUUGUCCAAAAAGUGCUCAGCUGUUACCCAGACUCUAAAGAACGUUACUGGGAGGUUUUAUGGACAUUUGAUUUUAAUGCUUUUGGAGUGAUGCAUCUUGUGAUUGUUUAUUUUUCAUAUUGUAUUUU